AUGAACGCUGACAGAAUGCUUAACACAUGCAAGUCUUUGGCGAAGCUGUGCUUGCACAGCCUAGCCAAGGCGGACGGGUGAGUAACGCGUAAGGAACUUGCCCCGCAGUCAGGGAUAACAGACGGAAACGACUGAUAAGACCUGGUAAAGUCAGGCGGACUCAUGUCCAGCCUGAUGAAAAGAGAUGCUGCAGGAGAGCCUUGCGUCCUAUUAGCUUGUUGGUGGGGUAACGGCCCACCAAGGCGAUGAUAGGUAGCCGGCCUGAGAGGGUGGACGGCCACAAGGGGACUGAGAUACGGCCCUUACUCCUACGGGAGGCAGCAGUGGGGAAUAUUGGACAAUGGGGGCAACCCUGAUCCAGCAAUUCUGUGUGCACGAUGAAGGUUUUCGGAUUGUAAAGUGCUUUCAGCAGGGAAGAAAAAAUGACGGUACCUGCAGAAGAAGCGACGGCUAAAUACGUG
rnacentral:rRNA from 1 species